GCGCGCGAGUUUGUGUUUAUGUGUGUGUGUGUGUGUGUGCGAGAUGUGUGCUUUUUAAACCUUAUAUACAAAUCGAAAUUGAAAGUAAACGCCCAGCACGCAGUUACCUUAUUAUAUUCAGUUUCAUAUCCUUCUUGACACUCUGAAAGACGUCAUAUCCUUCUUGACACUCUGAAAGAUUCGAGACCAAAAUUUACAGCGAAUAACAGCAUGAAGAUUUUUCAAAAGAUCAUUGGAUCGUUACACAUACAAUUUUGAGUCGAUCUUUACUACUACUACUACUACUGCUACUGCUGCUGUUGCUGCUGUUGCUACUACUACUACUACUACUACUCGCAGGUUUUUCAGUGACUAAUCUGUCCCAGUAUUCUCCAGAGGACGGAGGUAUGUUUUCCUGUCUGAAACUUUGUUGCUUGUAUGUGCGUUUGUAAGUGCGAGUAGUCUGAAAAAUUGGAUUUUUACCUUUUGACCAACAGAUUUUUAAAAUAAUUUUUUGUAAUUAAA